rnacentral:rRNA from 1 species
UACGAAGGGGGGCUAGCGUUGCUCGGAAUCACUGGGCGUAAAAGCGCACGUAGGCGGAUUGCUAAGUCAGGGGUGAAAUCCUGGAGCUCAACUCCAGAACUGCCUUUGAUACUGGCGAUCUCGAGUCCGGGAGAGGUGAGUGGAACUGCGAGUGUAGAGGUGAAAUUCGUAGAUAUUCGCAAGAACACCAGUGGCGAAGGCGGCUCACUGGCCCGGUACUGACGCUGAGGUGCGAAAGCGUGGGGGAGCAAACAGG